AGUGAACGCUGGCGGUAGGCCUAACACAUGCGAGUCGAACGGCAGCACAGUAAGAGCUUGCUCUUACGGGUGGCGAGUGGCGGACGGGUGAGGAAUACAUCGGAAUCUACUUUUUCGUGGGGGAUAACGUAGGGAAACUUACGCUAAUACCGCAUACGACCUACGGGUGAAAGCAGGGGAUCUUCGGACCUUGCGCGAUUGAAUGAGCCGAUGUCGGAUUAGCUAGUUGGCGGGGUAAAGGCCCACCAAGGCGACGAUCCGUAGCUGGUCUGAGAGGAUGAUCAGCCACACUGGAACUGAGACACGGUCCAGACUCCUACGGGAGGCAGCAGUGGGGAAUAUUGGACAAUGGGCGCAAGCCUGCUCCAGCCAUACCGCGUGGGUGAAGAAGGCCUUCGGGUUGUAAAGCCCUUUUGUUGGGAAAGAAAAGCAGCAGGUUAAUACCCCGCUGUUCUGACGGUACCCAAAGAAUAAGCACCGGCUAACUUCGUG
rnacentral:rRNA from 1 species